UACUAGAGACCGGCGCGCGGGUGCGUAACGCGUAUGCAACCUACCUUUUACAGAGGGAUAGCCCAGAGAAAUUUGGAUUAAUACCUCAUGGUAUAAUUGAAUCGCAUGGUUUAAUUAUUAAAGUUCCAACGGUAAAAGAUGGGCAUGCGUCCUAUUAGCUAGAUGGUAAGGUAACGGCUUACCAUGGCUACGAUAGGUAGGGGUCCUGAGAGGGAGAUCCCCCACACUGGUACUGAGACACGGACCAGACUCCUACGGGAGGCAGCAGUGAGGAAUAUUGGACAAUGGGCGCAAGCCUGAUCCAGCCAUGCCGCGUGCAGGAAGACGCAUCUAUGGUGUGUAAACUGCUUUUGUACGGGAAGAAACACUCCCUCGUGAGGGAGCUUGACGGUACCGUAAGAAUAAGGAUCGGCUAACUCCGUGCCAGCAGCCGCGGUAAUACGGAGGAUCCAAGCGUUAUCCGGAAUCAUUGGGUUUAAAGGGUCCGUAGGCGGUUUGGU
rnacentral:rRNA from 1 species